GCCGGAAUAGCUCAGUUGGGAGAGCUUUAGACUUACGAUCUAAAGACCCCUGGUUCAAUCCCAGGUUCUGGCA